GACGAACGCUGGCGGCGUGCUUAACACAUGCAAGUCGAACGAAGUGGCGAACGGGUGAGUAACGCGUCAUCAACCUGCCCUUCAGAGGGGGACAACAGUUGGAAACGACUGCUAAUACCGCAUACUGAAGGCGGGGCUUGCGUCUGAUUAGCUAGUUGGAGGGGUAACGGCCCAACAAGGCGAUGAUCAGUAGCCGGUCUGAGAGGAGGAACGGCCACAUUGGGACUGAGACACGGCCCAGACUCCUACGGGAGGCAGCAGUGGGGAAUCUGCCGCAAUGGACGAAAGUCUGACGGAGCAACGCCGCGUGAGGGAUGACGGCCGUCGGGUUGUAAAGCUCUGUUAAUCGGGACGCGGUACCGGAAUAGAAAGCCACGGCUAACUACGUGCCAGCAGCCGCGGUAAAUC
rnacentral:rRNA from 1 species